rnacentral:piRNA from 1 species
AGCCAUGAGCUUUGGAAAAAUGCAUUGAA